rnacentral:rRNA from 1 species
GUAGGUGGCAAGCGUUGUCCGGAAUUAUUGGGCGUAAAGCGCGCGCGGGCGGUUCUUUAAGUCUGAUGUGAAAGCCCACGGGCUCAACCGUGGAGGGUCAUUGGAAACUGGAGAACUUGAGUACAGAAGAGGAAAGCGGAAUUCCACGUGUAGCGGUGAAAUGCGUAGAGAUGUGGAGGAACACCAGUGGCGAAGGCGGCUUUCUGGUCUGUAACUGACGCUGAGGCGCGAAAGCGUGGGGAGCAAACAGGACUAGAUACCCUGGUAGUCCACGCCGUAAACGAUGAGUGCUAAGUGUUAGGGGGUUUCCGCCCCUUAGUGCUGCAGCUAACGCAUUAAGCACUCCGCCUGGGGAGUACGGCCGCAAAGGCUG